UACAGAUUCCAGAGCUGGCUGAUUUUGCACGUGCCUUAUUUAAGGCUUUGCUCUUACUUGCCAGCAGGGUUUUGGUGUUUGUUUUGGCGUUUGGUUUGGUUUUGGUUUUUCCUCCUCCAAUUCUUCUGAUUUCUGAUCAUCUGCGCAUAUGCUUUUCAGGGCAGGAGGUGUCUGGUCCUGGGUGGAAAGGUGGCAAUGGAAGUUCAUUACCAUUCGCAAAGCAGUUCACAGCAGCAGUGCGGCUGCUCAGCAGUGAGGCUCUGUGUAAGGCGGUGGGUGAGGAAUGUGCUAGUGGGAGAAGUGAUAGGAAAGGAAACUGCAACCGGCUCCUUGUCAGCGAUAUCGGAGUUUUAAAGCAGAAAGAACCCCAGAACCUUUUGAUUUGCUGCACAGGUUUUGCCUGGCGAUUAAGAUAACCUGCUGUGCUAUGGGCCAUAGAGCAGGGCUAAUCUAACUGUACGUUUCAAUCUACCUUUACAGAAAAAGGAACUACAACUUAACUGGGUCAUGAGACUGUUCCAUAUGAUAAUGAAGGUGAAUACAUGACAUUAUGAAUUUGUGAAGAUGCACGGAACUUCACUGCACAGGCAGCAAGGCAUCCUUCACAAAUAAAAACAAAACCAAGCCAUUUCGAUCUGGUUGAUCUCAGGAAUGAAAGCCAACGGCCACCUGGAAUCCAAGUGUAUUAUAAAUACAGGAGACAGCCUCACUGAAGGUUAGGGAGAAGAGGUACUAUACCAGUAUCUUUGGAAAUGUGUGUGUCUAUAAAACUAAUGAUUCUGCAGGCAUGAACUCUGUACUCUGGGUAACAAAUGUUUCCCAUGAGAGUAGAUGCUAAUAAUUCUGAUAUUGCUAUACAUGCAUUUAUAAAUGCAUAAAUUUAUACAUUUAUAAAUGCACGUGUGUGGAUGAUUCUAUGUGCCUCUGGGUGUGUGCUCAUGUGUGUACUGGAAGGUAACUUCAGGUGUGGUGUACUCCUCACGAAUGCUGUCCACCUCCUUUCAGGGUCUUGCUUGCCCUGGAGUUCACCAUUGGCUGGGGUGGCUGGCCCCUGGGCUGUGUCUGCCUCCCCAAGGCCAGGAUUAAAGUGUGCUGCAUAAUGCUCAGCACACUUACGGGUUUAUACGGGUUCUGAGGACCAAACUUAUGCUUUCAAAAUAAGCACUUCACUGAGUGAACUCUUUCUUUGGUCUCUCUAUAUAUAUAUUGAAAGGAACAGUUAAAUACACACACACACACACACACACACACACACACACACACACACACACACACACACGAUGAUAGAAAGCCAGCUUCUUACUAUUGAAGUAUGAAUUGUACAUAGAGAGAGAAGGCUAUAUAAUGAGCUUUCUGAUAAUAUGUUAGAUUUGAAGAAAUUUGUAUACACUUGUAUGUGUUUAUAGAUACUGAUUCAUAUAUCCUAGGCUGGCCUUGAAUUCCUGCCUCGGCCUCCCAAUCAGUGGGACUAUAGGGUUGAACUAGCAUGACCAGCUAUGUUUAGGUUAAUAUAGCUAUAGAUGGUUACAUACAAACGUACUUGCAGAUGGGUGCAUAUACAUGCAUUUCUGUUCUGGUUUGUGUGCAAAUUGUCCUCAAUAGAUGCACAUGCUCGAACAUUUGGUGACACUCAAGUGGCACUGUUUUGGAAGUUUGUGGAAUCUUUAGGUCUGUGUGGAAUGGCUGACAGAAAUUGGUUUUGGGGGUAGAUCUUAAAGUUGGUCUCUAUUCCUGGUUGGUUGUAGUGAACAAGCUGCAAUCUGUUGCUAAGAAAGCCAUAAGAUGUAUUUCUUGAAAUUGAUCCAAAAUUAAUCUCUCAAUACUCUUAUAGGGGCUUUUCUCACACCAAUAAGAAAAGUGACUCCUGCAGUUUCUUGGCUCUGUUAGCUCUAAUGGCCCAAAAUGAAAAACAGUCCAAGCAGGAAACAGCACUUCUAGAGUCCAGGUCUUGUUUCCAAGAUUAUUUGUCAAUGAAUGGAAUGGAGGUUUCUUUGAGAAAUGACUGACUUUAGGCCUAGCUGAGGAAGGGCCAGUUAUAGCGUAUGCAACCAGAAGUAGAGGAAGUAGUCAUAAGGAAAAACAAAAAAGUGCCCAACACCAAUCAACCCCAACCCCAACAACAACAACAACAACAACACUCAUCCCACACUGACCAGAACACAUGAAACGACAAAGGGCAACCGAAAGCACAUCACUGGAUAAAAAGCAGAGAUUCAGAUUAAUAAACUAGUGUGGAUUACAACUACCAGUAUAAAAGAAGUACCAAGGUCCCCAUAUCUGUAAUAGUGAUUUGACAUUUCCGCUUCGCUUCCUGUUUUCUAAUAGGUAACCGCCCACCCAUGCUUGGGCAAGGUACUGCCGUUAAACUUGGAGUGUCAGACACAAAAGGCAGACAUACCAGGGAGAGAGGGCUCGAUGGAGAGAAGGUGGGGGGGGGGGUUGAAGGAAAGUUUGAAAGAAGAUGUUAGUGACUAAAUUUAUUAUUAUUUGUAUGAAACUGUCAAAUAAACACGUUUUUCAAAAUAGAGAAGUGACAAACCUCUCAUGGAAAAGAAUUCCAAGCAAUUUGCUAAUGCACUGUCCCCAGAGAAGAACAGCGCACGCUUGCAUUUUCUAGGAAAGGAAUGCCUUUUGUGAUUCUUACACGGAGGAGGGAAGCACCUCACAGUGACAAGCCUCAGUGCCAGUGAGGUGACCUGAGAAACCUGUCAUGGAUCUGUAAGGCCUCUUCCAAAUGCCUGCUAUGAUGCCAUACUAAAUGGCACCAGUGUCUGUGAUCAAGAACAAAAUGUUUAAAAGUGGUCUACAUCUAGCUUUUGUGGUUUUAAA